rnacentral:rRNA from 1 species
CUACGGGCCGCAGCAGUGAGGAAUAUUGCACAAUGGGGGGAACCCUGAUGCAGCAACGCCGCGUGGAGGAUGACGCAUUUCGGUGUGUAAACUCCUUUUAUAUGUCAAGAAAAUGACGGUAGCAUAUGAAUAAGCACCGGCUAACUCCGUGCCAGCAGCCGCGGUAAUACGGAGGGUGCAAGAGUUACUCGGAAUCACUGGGCGUAAAGGACGCGUAGGCGGGUUGGAAAGUCAGGUGUGAAAUCCUACAGCUUAACUGUAGAACUGCACUUGAAACUUCUAAUCUAGAGUAUGGGAGGGGGAGAUGGAAUUAGUGGUGUAGGGGUAAAAUCCGUAGAUAUCACUAGGAAUACCUAAAGCGAAGGCGAUCUCCUGGAACAUUACUGACGCUAAGGCGUGAAGGCGUGGGGAGCAAACAGGAUUAGAUACCCUGGUAGUC